rnacentral:sRNA from 1 species
UAUUGUUUAAGUUUUAGUUCAUAAACAUCCUCUAUUUAUUGAAA